AUGCUUGCUUCCUCAGCACAUAUACUCAAACUGAAAGAAGAUGGAGCCCAGCAUGGCCUUUGCACAACGAUGUCAUGCAAAUUCCAUAUUUUUGAAUUAUUUUU
rnacentral:snRNA from 1 species